UGUACAUGAUGAGCAUUUCAGUUCUGCUUCUGAAAUAAUUUGAAGACACCUUUACCCACGAUACUGACUA
rnacentral:snoRNA from 1 species